UACGUAGGGUGCGAGCGUUGUCCGGAAUUAUUGGGCGUAAAGGGCUCGUAGGCGGUUUGUCACGUCGGGAGUGAAAACUCGGGGCUUAACUCCGAGCCUGCUUCCGAUACGGGCUGACUAGAGGUAUGCAGGGGAGAACGGAAUUCCUGGUGUAGCGGUGAAAUGCGCAGAUAUCGGGAGGAACACCGGUGGCGAAGGCGGUUCUCUGGGCCUGUACUGACGCUGAGGAGCGAAAGCGUGGGGAGCGAACAGG
rnacentral:rRNA from 1 species